UACGAAGGGGGCUAGCGUUGCUCGGAAUCACUGGGCGUAAAGGGUGCGUAGGCGGGUCUUUAAGUCAGGGGGGAAAUCCUGGAGCUCAACUCCAGAACUGCCUUUGAUACUGAAGAUCUUGAGUUCGGGAGAGGUGAGUGGAACUGCGAGUGUAGAGGUGAAAUUCGUAGAUAUUCGCAAGAACACCAGUGGCGAAGGCAGCUCGCUGGGACGGUACUGACGCUGAGACGCGAAAGCGUGGGGAGCAAACAGG
rnacentral:rRNA from 1 species